UACCGACUUCAGGGUGGAGGGCAGAUGAGUUAUAUGGAACAUUGGAGAUGGAGGGCAGCUGCAGGGGACCAUAUGACAUGUUUCCAAAGUGGCAAUCUGUUGUAUUUCCUGGGGCCCGAUGCAUGAAGAUUUGUGCAAGAAUAGGCCUUCCUUCCCCUGGCUGCCAACACUGCCUUCACUCCGGCCCAGAGUCACCUUUCCGCCUUCGCACGCUACCCAGAGGCCCAGAGUGGCCGGAGCAGGGCAGAAAGCCUGUGUUGUCACCAUGGCAACGACGCAAGUGUCCUGGCCUGACCACCUCCAUCUUCGUCACAUCAAUUUGCAUAUUCCCUCCUUAUUGGCUGUGGGUGCCCCAUCUUUGUUGUGAAGUGAUGGUCAAUUUGCUUAUUGUGUCUUUAUUAGAUAGGAUAGUGAUCUAUGAUCAAUGAUAUUUGAUGUUACUAAGGUAAGACCCUCCACCAGAAAAGAUAUUAUGACUUGUUGAGGGCUCAGGUGAUGUUUAGCAGUUUUUAGCAAUAUAAGUAUUUUUAAUUAUAUAUAAUAUUUUUUAGACAUAAUCUUAUUACACACUUCAUAGACUACAUUAAAGUGUAAAUAUAACUUUAUAUGCACUGGGAAGUCAAACAAUUUGCAUGCCUAGCUUUAUGGUGGUAUUCGCUUCAUUUCAGUGGUCUGGAACUGAACCCAUAAUAUAUCCAAGAUAUGCUUGUAGAUAAUUUUAUGAUUAGUAUAUAGAGUUGUGCAAGCAUAUUGGUGAAAAACUAUAUAAUAAUGGCAGAGAGUACUGAUAACAGCAGUAAAAGGAAAUAUUUAAGGGGGUAUGAUCAUUAAAAUGUCUUAUUUGUUCAUAAAACUACAUUCCUCUCUUCAGCUUUGCCAGGGUCAGUAUAUACUUCCUUAGCCCUUGACUUUGGCCUUGGCCAUGUGAUUUACUUUGACCCAUGUAAUAUUUUCCAGUUCUGAGUCAGGGUUUCUAAAGGCAUUACCUAUUUCUGCUUGCCCUUUUGUAGUACUAUCAUUUGCAUGAGAUAAACAAACUCCAGCUAAUUCUGGCUUCUUUAUUUUGGAAUCACAAUGAGAUGCAUGGAGCACAUUUGAACCCAACUUGGCUGAGCCAAGCCCACCUGUACAAUGUGAGAAGAACAAAAGUGACUGGGAUUUUAGAGUUAUUUGUUAUGAAGCAUUAUUUCAGUUGAACCUGAUUAGCAUACAUAUGCAAUAUCAUUUAUCUUUACAGUAAUUCUAUGAGAGAGACACUGCUGAUUCCAUUUCAAACAAGGAAAAUAUUAUUCACAGAACUUAAAUGCCAGAGUCACAUAACUAAUAAAUGUUUGGAACAGGCUUAGAAUCCAAGAGAUUCUGACUCUAAAUUUAGGCUCUAUUGAUCCUUAUAAAAAAUUACUCUUAAUUUAUAUAUAAUGAUAUGAGAACUAUAGUAUUAUAUGAUAGAAUACUUACUUUGAAUUUUUAUAUAUGCUUUGUUUUGCUAGUUAUGAAUUCUCCCCAAAGUAUACAUUUCUCAAAAGUUGCAUCUUUGCCUGAUGCCUCUUAUAUUCACCACAAUAUUGAGUCUCUCACUUUGUGUAUUGUUGACUCAUAGGAAAGAUUUGCAGAUUGACAGAUUGAUGUAAUGACAUUUUAUCAUAUAUUUGCUGUUUAUAUAACACGAUAAAGGUUAUUAUUGCCAAACAAACUUGUCCUUGUGUUUAUUCCCAAGAGCUCAGUAAAAGUAAGAAUAACUCUCUUAGUCCUCAGCGCUUCUCUCCCUCAUUUCUUUGCCUAAGCUCUUGGUUGAUGGCUGGUACUCUGCUGCCCCCUGGAGGGUCACUGAAUUUUGUGCUUUUGUGUAAAGAAUAGCAGCAGAUUGACAAGACACAGCAACAGAAAGUUACACUUUCUAAGAAACACAGAUUCAGA